rnacentral:lncRNA from 1 species
UGUUCGGGCAAUCACACAGCACAAAUAAAGAGCAGUGCUGGCCUGGGGCUUUACUCGUAGCCCAGUAAUGUUCCAGUUACCCCCAAACACUCUUACUUGCCUUCAAUGGUGUUUAAAGAUGAUGGUCGCUUGACUUGUUACCAGUGACUCAGGGAAGUUGGUCUGCAUAAGGAAUAAAUAAUUUGUUAUAGGAUCUGUGGAACUCCAGUGCUGGACCUGGGAACCUGGAGCCCCUAUUCAGAGAGGGAGCAGGAACCCAGAAGAGUACCCAAGGAGUGGAGACAGAAGACCUGGGUUUGAGUUUGAAGCCAGACUCCAAUACAAAUGGAAGGAGAAAUCUUGGUCACGGCACCUGGUCUCUAUGAUCCUCAGUCCUACAUCUAGAACAGGAAGACAAUUAGUG